CUGCGGCUCCUGGGUUGACUCGUCUGAAAUGUCACCUCUAAUUGGGAAGCCACAUCUCUCACAGAUGGCCAGGCUGUACGCAACUCUUGGCUGCUGGAUCUGUGGCCUUGCAGAGACGGCUGAAGCAGGAACACCUGGCGGCGAUGACUGCAGAUGGGUCCACAGGAACUGGUAGCAGAAACAAGAGAGCAGCCUUACCAGGCAUGAGAAGUGGGGCCUUCCGUGAGAGAGUGAGCAGGAGAGACAGGCAGAGCAUGAGAAGCUGGCGGGUGGCCUGGGCAGAGUUUCUCUGGGUCAGAAGUUCAGACAUGGCACAGUGGGAUGGCUUGCUUUUGCUCCAUCAUGGGCCUCAGCUGGAAGAUGUGAAGGUCAUAGACUGGAAUCUCUGAAGACUCAUCUAGCCACAAGCCUACAGGGUGCUGGCUCCAGCUGGGACACCACAUGAGCCUCUCCAUGUGGACUGGGCUUCUUUAUAACAUGGUGGCCGGUUCCAUGGGCAAGCAUGGAGGAGCGGGGGAGA
rnacentral:lncRNA from 10 species